AGUUAAGUUUACAGACGGUACUGUAGUCAAACUGCAAAUUUGAAUUUUAAGGUUCAAUUCCUUCUUAACUC
rnacentral:tRNA from 1 species